rnacentral:lncRNA from 1 species
GGGCAGUGUGAGCCUUUGAAGGGACAGGCUUACUACAAGAGGCAUGCAUCCCCUCUGCUCACAUUCGUUUGACUCCACUGACUGAAAGGGAUGAGGAUCUAAGAUGUAGCUUUGUGCCCAACAUAACAGGAGACACACAGAAGCCGAAGAACCUGUAAUUACCACCUUUCACGCUAGGUGGUGGACUCAAGACCAAAAAAAGCUAUUAAAUGGAUGAAUACAUUCGAUUUAGCAAGGUCAAAAGAAAUGGAGAAGAUCAUUUUAAACUUGGAAAGAGGGGCAAGAUGGAGGAGUUGAUGAACAAAAGCAGCCGUUCCCAAGAAAGAACAAUGGCAUUCUCUGUGACCUGAGCACAGCUGGUAACACUGGAUCCUCAAACAUUAACUCCUUCCUGAAGACCCACAUUAACAUUUCCUCUAGCCACAUCUAUAAUCUACAGCAUCUCAGAUAAAUUGAACACCUUGCUUCUUCUUUUUGGUUUAAAAAAAUUUCUUCUAAUUGAAAAAAAUUAUGUUCUUUUAACAUUGAAGAACAGCUCCAGUA